rnacentral:rRNA from 1 species
AUGGGGGAGCUCAUGGCGGCUCUUGUCAAAUAUGUUGACUCUGUUAGCAAUAAAGAACCUAAGUCUGAUGAGGAGAAAGCUGGUAAAGGGAAAAAGAGUGGCAAUACAACGGGACAGCAUAACACGGUGAGUCAAGGUGGUAAUGGUAAGCGCAAGGCUGACGGCGGUUUAGACUUUAUGGCUAACACCAAUACACAGAGUAAUAACCAGCGUCGUAAGGGGAAAACACCAGCACCCUGGUUUGGAGGGCCGAAGUUCAACCUUGAGGCCAUGAUGAAUCAGCCUUGCCCAAAGCACGGAACCCAGGAGAAGCCGGCCAGUCAUCUGUGGAAGGAUCGCUUCAUCAUGAGGGAGUGUAGAAACUCUAAUUUUUUUCCAGAAUAA